rnacentral:rRNA from 1 species
UACGUAGGGUGCAAGCGUUAAUCGGAAUUACUGGGCGUAAAGCGUGCGCAGGCGGUUAUGUAAGACAGUUGUGAAAUCCCCGGGCUCAACCUGGGAACUGCAUCUGAGACUGCAUAGCUAGAGUACGGUAGAGGGGGAUGGAAUUCCGCGUGUAGCAGUGAAAUGCGUAGAUAUGCGGAGGAACACCGAUGGCGAAGGCAAUCCCCUGGACCUGUACUGACGCUCAUGCACGAAAGCGUGGGGAGCAAACGGG